AUGUUGUAUGAAAGGAAAGAAUGUUACUACUCCCUUUGACAAGGAUAGAAGAGAUCCUAAUGGCUUUUACAACACAGUUAUGGUUAAGACAUUGCCACCUACUCUGUGGCACCUAACUAUGUUUCCUG